UACGUAGGGACCGAGCGUUGUCCGGAAUCAUUGGGCGUAAAGAGCGUGUAGGCGGCUACUUAAGUCCUGCGUGAAAUCUUGCGGCUCAACCGCAAGCGGUCGUGGGAAACUGGGUGGCUAGAGUGCGGGAGAGGAGAGUGGAAUUCCUGGUGUAGCGGUGGAAUGCGCAGAUAUCGGGAGGAACACCAGUGGCGAAGGCGGCACUCUGGGCCAGAACUGACGCUGAGGAGCGAAAGCGUGGGUAGCAAACAGG
rnacentral:rRNA from 1 species